rnacentral:rRNA from 1 species
UCCUUGCACACACCGCCCGUCGCUUCAUCGAAGUCGAGUUUGUGCGAGGUGACGUCUAAUUGGCGUUAUCGAACACGAGCCUGGCAACGAGGGAGAAGUCGUAACAAGGUGACCGUAGGGGAACCUGCGGUCGGAUCACCUCCU